rnacentral:rRNA from 1 species
UCAACCGUGGAAGGUCAUUGGAAACUGGGUCACUUGAAUGGAGCAGAGGAGAACGAAUUCCAUGUGUAGCAGUGAAAUGCGUAGAUAUAUGGAGGAACACCAGUGGCGAAGGCGUUCUCUGGGCUCACAUUGACGCUGAGGCUCGAAAGCGUGGGGAGCGAACAGGAUUAGAUACCUGGUAGUCCACGCCGUAAACGAUGAGUGCUAAGUGUUGGGGGGCUUCCACCCCUCAGUCUGGCGUUAACGCAAUAAGCACUCCGCCUGGGGAGUACGGCCGCAAGGCUGAAACUCAAAGAAUUGACGGGGACCCGCACAAGCGGUGGAGCAUGUGGUUUAAUUCGAAGCAACGCGAAGACCUUACCAGGGCUUGACAUCUGAUGCAUAACCUAGAGAUAGGUGAAAUUCUUCGGAACACAAGACAGGUGGUGCAUGGUUGUCGUCAGCUCGUGUCGUGAGAUGUUGGGUUAAGUCCCGAACGAGCGCAACCCUUAUCACUAGUUGCCAGCAUUAAGUUGGGGACUCUAGUGAGACUGCGGUGACAAACCGGAGGAAGGUGGGGAUGACGUCAAAUCAUCAUGCCCCUUAUGUCCUGGGUACACACGUGCUACAAUGGAUGAUACAGCGAGAAGCGACGUCGCGAGGCCAAGCAGAUCUUUAAAGUCAUUCACAGUUCGGAUUGUUCUCUGCAACUCGAGAGCAUGAAGCCGGAAUCGCAGUAAUCGUGGAUCAGCACGCCACGGUGAAUACGUUCCCGGGUCUUGCACACACCGCCCG